UUUAAUCAUUCGGGUGGGAUCCAAAUCCCUUGUCGGAUAUCCGAAUUCGAGUACGUUCAAUCAAGAAUCGCCGCCACGGGUGGUGGUGGAAGAUGCCCUACAAGGAGAAGCUGGAGGCAUAAGUACUGGUGAGUUGUGAUCAGAGACGAAUCUAAAAUUUAAAAGUAUAAUAGCGUGGAAGGCGGAAUUGGAGGCCUAAGUACUGGUGAGUUGUCAUUAGAGGCGUAUUUAAAAUUUAACAAUAUACUAUUUUUUAAGCUUAUUUGUUUAUGAAGAAAGUAGUGUGAGUAGUUUUUGAUUAACUACUUAAUUUCCACUCUGAUUAUGACGAUGUUAAGGUUUGUUAUUCUAUUUUAGUGAUCAGUUCGCUAGUUUCUUUGAUCCCACUCGGUUUCUUUUAUACUGCCGGAGGUAUGGAGGCUUAGUUUAAUAUUUUAUUUUGUCAAAAAGAAAAAUGUAAAAAGUUUUGACAUUUAUGCCAAAACUUUUGUUCUUAGGGUGUGGAUGAU
rnacentral:lncRNA from 1 species